GCAUUGGAAUAAAAAUGCUCAGAAAGAAAAUAUGGAUAAAAAUGUACGUCUUGAACAAAAUUUAUUAAUGAAUUUUUUUUUUCAAUUAUAUAAUUAUUAUCCUUAAACAUGUUAAAUGAUAUAGAAUUAAACUAGAAUAUAAAAAUCAUGCAAACUUGUGUUUAUUAGAUUUUUUUAAUCAGGUCAUUAUAUCCUAAAGCAGGACAUUAUACCCCUGUCGUUUUUAUUAUGUCCAAUAAAAAGUUUAUAUAUUUCAUUGUGCAUUUUGCCACGAUUCUCAAUGAAGAUAACAAUAUUUUAAAUUAUUAUUUCCAAUAAAAAUGAUAUUGUGUAUGCACCAAAAUUGACAAAAAACUAUUUAUUAUAAUCAGUCAGGACAUUGUACUAUAAGGGCAUUAUACACUUCCGGUGUAAACAGCUUACUCAGGAACUGAGGAAGCAGAAUGUUCAAGGCAACCAGAAGCUUGAGUCCAUCCUGAACAUAGAGACAACACAGAUAUUAGCAAAGCUGUAAAUAUUGCUAGAGGAUUAGUUAAUGCAACUCAGCAAGGACUAGUGAUGGAUAUGUUCCAGGUUCCACAGCUAGGAGAAUGUCAGGAAGAAAAGCCUCAUCAUUAAAAGUGUUACAGAGGCACUAAAGGAAACUGAUGGCAUUGUUUUUGUGUGGGUGAUGAGAAUAAGAGUGAGGAGGAGAUAGAUGAUAGUCAAGACAAUCAGGAUGUCCACACUGUCACUCCAGGGAAGAAGAAGUCAUUUCUGAUCCUAGAUCUACUGUGGAAGAUUCUACAUGCAAGUGACAAGAGAUACAAAAAAAUCCCAAGGACAUCAUGAGAAAUGAAUUUAAUCAACAGACAUUGUGGAAAAGAUUUUCUAAAAAAUUGUAAUAGGACCUUAGAGAAGUGUAAAACACCAAGGAUAUACAUUUGUAAUCUUGUUAAAAACAGAGAAAAUCUUGAUUAACAUUCUACUUUCAAUUUAUAUACUUUGAGAAAUAUGAAAAAAACUGUUUUAGAGCCACAGUAAUGGAGGACAUUGAAUUCUUUGCAGCAGUUUUAUCAUUAGGCCAUUCCAUUUUUUUUCUGUGUUUAGUGACUGCAGAUGGAUUGGUUUUGAGAUCAUGCAAAUUAAGAACAAACACAAAAUAAAAUUGACAAAUACAAAUCUUUGACAAGCAAUUUACUCUUCUGGGAUCAGCAUCUCUCUUUUUUUAAAAGUGAUGUGCCUAAGUUUUUUUUUUUUGUUUCAUUAAACUAGUAGUAGUAGUUUAAUUUAGUUAUAAUACGAGGAAAAUUCUUAAAUGAUGCUAAAGGAGUUCUAGAACUUUGCGUAAAAUGUUGUUUUUUCCCCUUUUGGUUUGUGAUUUUUCUUUUGGAACGAAGAAAUGUUUGAAAUAAAGGUUGGAUGGGAAACAAAGAAAAAACUUGGAAUGGCCUCAUAUAACCUACAUGGACUAAACUUGCAUAGAUGAAGAGUGCUUAAGAAGCUGUGCAUGAUGUAUGUAGAAAAUGAUUUUGAAGUAUUAAAUAUUCUAUGCAAAAGGAAAUUUUC